AAGAAGUAUGUGUUUGUUUAUUAAUGCUGGGUUUGUCUUUGCACCUUGGCUGUCUUCUAUCUUACGGAUCACGUUUUGCUUUUCUAGAAAGUGCCCCAGCAACAGAUCCUGAUAUGUGCAAAAGGAAGUCUGGUUUAAGCACAGACGAGGAGGAAGUACUUAUGUUGCCAGUUAAAGGCCGUGAGCGCUAUAACAUGUUAAAAAAGAUAAAUGAUGCAUUAGAACUGGCUGAAAAAGAGGCUAAAAACAAAACCAGGGCUUCUAAGGAACUGCUGCCGUCCAGUGGAAAGUGCGUCUUGCAAAAAGCAGAACGAAGCGACAGCGACUAGUUGCAAUCUGCCUUCUUUUAACCGCCAUGUACGAGUGAUGAUGAUGAUGAUGAUGAUGAUGAUGAUGAUGAUGAUGAUGAUGAUGAUGCAAGCAGACAGCUGCGUGCAAGGGCUGACCAUUUUAAACGAAAAAUAAAACAGACCAAACAGGCAAAAA